rnacentral:ncRNA from 1 species
UCGGUCUGUCUGACCGUCGGAAUGAAAAGGGAAUGCCGUGCGAUUCGGCAACAGUUCCCGCUGCUGUGAGUUCUGCCUCGCACAUCGUUGGGAGGCUAUUCUCGGAGAGAUACUCUGCAGGCCACUGACUUUUUCGGGUCGGGAAGGCCCUCUCCGGAGGAACGAGUCAGAAGACCUGCCGUUGUAA